GACGAAGGAUGCAAGCGUUAUCCGGAUUCAUUGGGUUUAAAGGGAGCGUAGGUGGCCUUAUAAGUCAGUAGUGAAAUCCUGUUGCUUAACAGCAGAAUUGCCAUUGAUACUGUAGGGCUUGAGUAUAGUUGCCGUUGGCGGAAUAUGACAUGUAGUGGUGAAAUACAUAGAGAUGUCAUAGAACACCGAUUGCGAAGGCAGCUAACGAAACUAUAACUGACACUGAGGCUCGAAAGUGCGGGGAUCAAACAGGAUUAGAACCGUACCCACGUAGUCCAA
rnacentral:rRNA from 1 species